rnacentral:lncRNA from 1 species
AUACUUCUAUGCGAUGUUGAGAUUUUGGGUUGUGUACUCUUUAUUCUUCUGUUCAUGAUCUUAUUGACUUAUACUUUACUCUGAUAUCAGGAUAGGAUUUUUCUUUGUUUUCUUACUAUCGACUUGCUUCUUUUUAGACGCCUUAUAUACUGCAGGUGUGUGGCGGGUCUGUGCACGUACCGGAUAUGCUUCCGCUGGUAAUCGAGUGUGACAUUUAAUUACAGAAAAAAAAUUCUUUUUAAAUUUUUUACUUAAUUAACUUAAUUUUAUAACUAUUUAUUCUUAUAUUCUUAAAAAAUAUAAGUAUUUACGCUAAUAACAUAAAUCUUGAGAGAAAAAAAACUUAAUUUAAUAGUCGAAUUUUUGAUCCCGAAUUUUUAAUUGAUGAACGUAUAAUAUCCGUAUAAAUCACGCAUCAAAUGCAUGUCAACUUAUA